UACGUAGGGGGCAAGCGUUGUCCGGAUUCAUUGGGCGUAAAGAGCUCGUAGGCGGCUUGGCAAGUCGGGUGUGAAAACUUCAGGCUCAACCUGGAGCGGCCACUCGAUACUGCCAUGGCUAGAGUCCGGUAGGGGACCACGGAAUUCCUGGUGUAGCGGUGAAAUGCGCAGAUACCAGGAGGAACACCGGUGGCGAAGGCGGUGGUCUGGGCCGGAACUGACGCUGAGGAGCGAAAGCGUGGGGAGCGAACAGG
rnacentral:rRNA from 1 species